rnacentral:lncRNA from 1 species
AUUCCACAACACAGGUGCUUCAUUCAAUCAGUUGAAUGCCUUCACAGCAAAAACAGAUUUCCUACAGAAGAAGGAUUCUGCCUUAAGACUAUAACAUGAAGAUUUUGCCUGAGUUUCCAGCUUGCUGGCCCAGCCUACAGAUUUCAAACUUGCCAACCUCCACAAUCUGUGAACCAGUUUUUAAAAAUGAAUCAGUCAAUCUGUCUCUCUCCCUCUGUCCUUCUCUUUCCCAUUGCCUCCCCCACUAUUGACACCAUUUCUAUGGGGUGCCCUUGACUCCUAAAAACAGACACCAGUUUCCUGGCUAUUCAAAUACUAGGGUCUAGACUUAACCUCUUCUCAAAAUCAUUAUCUUCAUAUCCUGUUCCUUUUCUUUCCCGGGAGAUAUUGGCCAAAAUGCUAAAUUAGUUCUUGCCAAAGAGUUAAUGACUGGUGAAUAAUAUAACAGGAACUUAAAAAGUAUCUACUAAAUCUAACACAUUGGUAUUUGUCUUGACAAAAACCAUAAAACAUUACUCUGAAUUAAAGCGAGCCAUUUUUUUCUAUCAUUGCUGAUCAUUAAUCAAUAUAUGAAUUGUAUGCAGAUCUAAACAGGAUUGCAAAGACUUAGGCUAAUCAGAAAAUAACUGAAUGCAACUAAAACAAUAUAGAACACAAAAUAAUGUAUUAGAUAAGUGUUAAAAUAUGUAUGUACACGACAAGAAUGAAAAUACCGAUAAAUACACACAUAGUUAUCUUUGAAGAAAAGAAUACCUACUCAUUGCUAUACCCCAUGAUUUAUUCUGGUCCCAAACCUAAGGCAAUGUCAUUCAUCCAUCACCAUACUCCUCACCUAGAAGUGGUCCAUCACACCAUCCUCAUUUUUGUUUCAAGCAUCCUUGGCCUGAGAUAAGGUCUAUUUACCUUUCUGGAUUUGGUCCCAAUUUCUCAAUUUACAGAUGACAAAACUAAAAUCUAGAGAGGCAAUAGAUUUUACCUAUGGUUCUGUAGCCAGCUCACAGAAAAAUUCAAAUCUAAAUCUCCUGAAUUUGAAUCAUGAGCACUUUUUAUCCCUCUAGUACUGGGGAUUAAACACAGGGUCACUCCAUCAUUGAACUACACCUCCAGUCCCUUUUUAUUUUGUUUUGUGGCAGGGUCUUGCUAAUUGUUCAGGUUGCUCUUAAACUUGUGAACCUUUUGCUUCAAACAUCCCAGGUAGUGAGGAUUACAGGUGUGCUCCACCAUAUUUGACUAUAAACACUUUUAAAGAUAAAAGUAAAUAUUUCAGGAAUAAAACAAAAAGUAUGGAGAAUAAUAUAGUGGAUAUCUGUAUACCCACCUGUAUAUGCAGUUUAAGAAAUGAAUUUCUUAAAACUACCAGAUUCAUAGUCAAGAGUCCUACAUUUUCUCUCAUAUGUGGAAGCUACAGAGAAAAGAGGGGUAAAAAGGUGGAUCUCAUGGAAAUAGAAGGCAAACUGGUAGAGCACAGGAAGG